rnacentral:rRNA from 1 species
UCCUCGGGAGGCAGCAGUGGGGAAUAUUGCACAAUGGGGGAAACCCUGAUGCAGCGACGAGCGUGCGGGAUGACGGCCUUCGGGUUGUAAACCGCUUUCAGCAGGGAAGAAGCCCUUCGGGGUGACGGUACCUGCAGAAGAAGUACCGGCUAACUACGUGCCAGCAGCCGCGGUAA